AUUGAACGCUGGCGGCAUGCCUUACACAUGCAAGUCGAACGGUAACGGGCCUUCGGGUGCCGACGAGUGGCGAACGGGUGAGUAAUACAUCGGCACGUGCCCGAUCGUGGGGGAUAACGAGGCGAAAGCUUUGCUAAUACCGCAUACGAUCUACGGAUGAAAGCAGGGGACCGCAAGGCCUUGCGCGGACGGAGCGGCCGAUGGCAGAUUAGGUAGUUGGUGGGAUAAAAGCUUACCAAGCCGACGAUCUGUAGCUGGUCUGAGAGGAUGAUCAGCCACACUGGGACUGAGACACGGCCCAGACUCCUACGGGAGGCAGCAGUGGGGAAUUUUGGACAAUGGGCGCAAGCCUGAUCCAGCCAUGCCGCGUGCAGGAUGAAGGCCUUCGGGUUGUAAACUGCUUUUGUACGGAACGAAAAGCCUUCUUUUAAUACAGGAGGGUCAUGACGGUACCGUAAGAAUAAGCACCGGCUAACUACGUG
rnacentral:rRNA from 1 species